rnacentral:tRNA from 1 species
UCCCCGUAGCUCAGCGGACAGAGCACCAGGUUGCGAACCUGGGGGCCGCUGGUUCGAUUCCAGCCGGGGACA